CUUUGCUGUAGACCUUGUUUGGGUCUGUAUCUUGCUUUAACCUAACCGUCAAUAGGUGCUACAGAGUGAUUGGAACUGCAUAUUUAUCUAGUUCACAUAGCUGACAUGCCUCACUUGACAUAUUGGUUAAAGUGCGUCACACUAUUCCAUGUUACAAAUUCGAAAAAGUGUGGUUUGGUUUUACAAGUGGCAAGAGCAAUUGAUGUGCAAUAAUCUUAGAAUGCUGUAGCCUAUGCAUGCAAACCCCAUGCGUGUUUGUCAAAACAAACAACUUGCAGGUCGAUGACAGCAUGUACCCUGUUUGGAGGGAAAAAUCUUUACGUGUGCCCGUCUGACCACUUCUAUUGGGUGACACAUAAGAGGAGCAGUUCGGGGAAAAAAGGUUCACUUGACGAGGAGGCUGAGUUACGAGUAGGGACUACGGAAUCUCCCAACAGCUCGCACAAAUAAAUUGGGCUGGGAAAUUGGCGACGACUUGAUUGAGAGCGCGUUCAUAGCCCAGCAGGAAGAUUUGAAUGGUGGUGUAAAAUACAAGGGGUUGGAGGAAUAUUGCCCUGAAUCCCCUGCUGUCGGAGAGAGGCCUAAUGGAGAUGUCUGGGACUUGGCCUACUGCUAAACCAACAUGAGGUGAGAGGAGCCAGACAGAGAGAAAGAGGAUAGCUUCUGAUUUGUCCAUGUGUUAAGUAUGGCCCGCAGAUCGUAGAGGUGGAGCAUCUAACUGGGUGACUCUCUACAGCUGUCUCGAGUGGAGAGAGAGGCAUGGACUGUCAUUUCCAUCUGAUCAUCAACAACAGUCAAGAUACAGUAUGCUGAUGAAGAAGGAUACAGCAAACGACUAUUUCUUAUCAGCAUGCAUAGUCAGCACUCAGUCAUUUCUGUAUCAUUGUGAUUUAAAAAUCAGUUGCAAAACGGUUUACCUUCUACUGGGCUGUAAAAGUACAACAUCAUUUAUUCUGAAUUGUAAAAGUCUUUAUUGUUGUACUGGAUUUCAAGUGAAUCUGUCCUUAGAAUUGAGUAUAAGUGAACCCAAAAAUGGAACCCACAGUGCACUUGCUCUUCAUCUGAAAUAUGAAUUGAUUGAAACAGUACAUCAAGACAAUAUUUUUGUACGUUCUCAAAUCACUGUAUUUUCUCAAUGAAUGGAAUAAAGUAUAUUCAAUCAUA